GCAGUCGAGGGGUACAGGGUGCUUGCACCGCUGACGACCGGCGCACGGGUGCGUAACGCGUAUACAAUCUACCUUAUAGAGGGGGAUAGCCCAGAGAAAUUUGGAUUAAUACCCCAUAGCAUUAUGAAAUAGCAUUAUUUUAUAAUUAAACAUUUAUGGCUAUAAGAUGAGUAUGCGUUCUAUUAGUUAGUAGGUAAGGUAACGGCUUACCUAGACUUCGAUAGAUAGGGGUCCUGAGAGGGAGAUCCCCCACACUGGUACUGAGACACGGACCAGACUCCUACGGGAGGCAGCAGUGAGGAAUAUUGGACAAUGGGCGAGAGCCUGAUCCAGCCAUGCCGCGUGCAGGAAGACGGCCCUAUGGGUUGUAAACUGCUUUUACAGAGGAAGAAACACUCCCUUGCGAGGGAGCUUGACGGUACUCUGCGAAUAAGGAUCGGCUAACUCCGUGCCAGCAGCCGCGGUAAUACGGAGGAUCCAAGCGUUAUCCGGAAUCAUUGGGUUUAAAGGGUCCGUAGGCGGGACAAUCAGUCAGCGGUGAAAGUCUGUGGCCCAACCAUAGAAUUGCCAUUGAUACUGUUGUUCUUGAAUACUUAUGAAGUGGUUGGAAUAUGUAGUGUAGCGGUGAAAUGCAUAGAUAUUACAUAGAACACCGAUUGCGAAGGCAGAUCACUAAUAAUUUAUUGACGCUGAUGGACGAAAGCGUAGGUAGCGAACAGGAUUAGAUACCCUGGUAGAAUCACUAGUGAAUUC
rnacentral:rRNA from 1 species